ACUGGUUGCCCCUCUUCUCCCCUCCUCUCCAGAUCCCUGUUUCCUGUCUGGCAGAUUUACGAUGCAGUUCAAAGAAGGAAGGAUGAUAUAACGCUUUCCUGCUCCCUCCCUCUCCCAACCGACUUAGGCUAACUGGCUGGGGGCCAAGCGGUUUGUUUUCCGCAGCCUUGAGUUUGUAAAAAUACUCCAGCCUGGGGGUGGGCUACCCAGGCCCUGCCUUUGCACUGUGCGGACCGCCUGCCUGCAGGACGCCCAGGAGUUCUGGGUCCCACUGACUGCCUCUCCGAGCCCCAUGUGGCUAAGAAUGCUAAGCUCUGGCCAACACUGAGCCUCCCUUCUGCAACACCUGGGACUGAAUUGGCUUUGUAUUGGCAUGGAGCCCUCGGACCUCAGCAUCAAAGAGGCAGGGCGUGAAGCCACAAUCAAGAACAAGCAAAGUGAGCGCAGGGACUUUGCUUAUUUGGAUGGUGUCUGCAUGUCUGGAUGACCCACAGGGAAGCAGACCUCCAGUGCCAACAGCGGCUGUGAAGACAAGUCACAAGUGCCUCAGACUAAGCCAGUACCCUCUGCUUCUGCGGAAUCGUUGGAAGAAAAGGGAAGGAGAAACUCAAAGGAAAUCAAACUGCAAGGGCAGAAGUGCAGGCUCUUACCUGGCACUCCUCGGUGAGGGCUUUUCCAGCAAGACAAAAUGCCGAGCAGAUAUCUGGGGGACACAGGCCCCUUCAGCUCACUCUUGCAGAUGCCUUCAGAGGUCCUGCUUCUCUUCAAACACUUUCAGUCACUCCAUGAGCAUGUUUGAAGCAGCUCCCACGGCCGCAUGUGGCCGUGCAGCAGGGGCACAGCCAGCCACAUGAGUAACGACAAGACGGUCAAGUGUGUGACCAGUGCUGCACGGAGGAGGGGACCGGGGGGCCGAGGGAAGACGGCACAGGCACCCACGGCCGCCUGGCAGCCAAGGAAGGCUUCCCCGAGAGGCUGAGGGUGCCCAGGCCUUCUCCAGGCCUGUCUGCUGCUCUUUCCCCCACUUCUCCACUAAGGGCCUGGUCAGGGGCCGGGGCCAUGGGAGACAGACCGGCAGUCAGAGGACACUCUUCAUUCAACAGGGACCUGUCGCUACCCUGGUCUCCCCUUUCCUGCUCGGAGGAGCCUCCUCCGGCCUAGUUGUUCCUAACUCAGCCCCCUCUCCUGGUGGAGCCUGAGGCCAGAAAGCAGGCAACGCUGAUAAUAAUAAUAGUAAUAAUAAUGGUAAUGCGGAGAAGGGGGUAGGGAGGGGAGUGGUGGAGGAGAAAGGCCGCUUUACCUCAAACCCCACCCUGCGGGUUAAGUGUCUCCACCCCCAGCCAUGCUUGUGGAGAAGGCAGCUCCGUGUGGCCAGACCACAGAGUCCCCAUUUGGAAGAUCCCCUUUCCUAACCACCCUGGCCCAACAUCAGUAGCAAUAUUGCCCCACAAGGAGCAGCGAGCCAUUUACUGCAAAAAUCACCAGCGUCAGGGCUCAAACACCAAGUUCAGACACGAAGAACUCCCCCUCUGGAGCAUAAAACCAAGUUCAGAAUGAAGAAAAACAAAAUUUCCAGCCCGAGUUUCCUCUGAGGAGACACCCUCGGCGCCCCUCCUCACAGCUGCAAGGCCUCCUUCCCGGGCUGGGCCCUCAUUAGGAGCUAAUGGGCCCCAGCUGUGCCAGCUUCCAGACUCCUCCUUAACCCCUUGGUUUCCUCCGUCACUGCCAGAGGAAAAUGAGGCCUUGGAAUUUCCGUGCAGGGUUGAGAGCAGAGGGCACCCGCUGCACAGAGUUAGUGGUGUGCACCUUCUAUGGUUCCUCCUAAGAAACCAAAUAAUUAACAGGUACUACUAUUUGUGGGGUGCCUCGUACGCCUUUGUGCUGUGCUCAGUCAUUUCAGUCAGGCACUCUGAGCCCCCAUCCUAUAUAAAUGUCCCGCUCAACAGCUGUCCUGAGCACCAGAGUGGAAAUGAACAAGAUCCAGUGACGUGAGUCCAACCUGGUCGAAGAGGACACAUUUGCUUCCUGUUGCUGCUGUGACAAGUCAACACAAGCUUAGUGGCUUAAAAUAACACCAUUUUAUUAUCUUGAUGAUUCUGAAGGUUAGAAGCCCAGGUUGGGUUUCAUGAGUAGAAGUCAAGCAGAGCUGCAUUCCUUCUGGAGAUGCUAGAUGAGAAUCUGCUUUCUUGCCUUUUUCAGCUUCUGGAGGCUGCCCUCAUUCC
ensembl:lncRNA